rnacentral:rRNA from 1 species
UACGUAGGGGGCGAGCGUUGUCCGGAUUCAUUGGGCGUAAAGAGCUCGUAGGCGGUUCGGUAAGUCAGGUGUGAAAACUCCAGGCUCAACUUGGAGACGCCACCUGAUACUGUCGUGACUAGAGUCCGGUAGGGGAGCAUGGAAUUCCUGGUGUAGCGGUGAAAUGCGCAGAUAUCGGGAGGAACACCAGCGGCGAAGGCGGUGCUCUGGGCCGGAACUGACGCUGAGGAGCGAAAGCGUGGGGAGCGAACAGG